ensembl:lncRNA novel transcript, antisense to CNPY1
UGAAAGCGCGGGCGGAGGGUGCGCUUGUGUUCUUGAGACCCAGGUUCCAUUACAAACCACCCAGCAUCGCCACCGGCGCCCCCCGUUUCAAUAAGGAAGCCACUUUGUCAAAACAUUCUAAAAGAAACUUGGGAAGAGGACGCGUCAGAGAAAUACCGCCGCCGAUUAACUAUCAGCUGCGCCUCCCCUGUGCACAGAAAGCAUGCAGCAGAGAUCAGAGGAAGGGCCAUUUGGUCCAGAGAGACCCUGAUUCACAGCCUUGUCCUGUUCCAAGCAAUGUUGGGAUGAGCUGAAGAAGAUGCCUCCGUUCUCAGACCCAAAAGGCACAAAGACGGCACCUUUGGGAGAGCCAGGCACUACCAGUGUCUUGAGUGCUGAAUAUUGUGCAUUCGAAAGCAAUGAGAGCUCUAGGGUGGACCUUUCACUGGCACUCAAAGAGAACCAAGGAAGCAGAGAAGGAUGAUAAAU